AUAAUAAUAAUAAUAAUAAUGAGUUGAUAGUAAAUGAGAGGUAUCAGGGAUCCAUUCCAUAGGAAAUGGGAAAUUACACAGAGCUAGGGAUACAGAAGGUAUUGACUUUGGGCUGUUUUGUUCCUUCUAGGACAGAAAAUCAUACAUAACAAAAACCAAAAUAAGAAUAAUCUACAGUGCCAAAGCACUUAUAUUGUAGACAAGAAGAGCUCCUCCUGCAAGA
rnacentral:misc_RNA from 1 species